rnacentral:rRNA from 1 species
GAAACGAUCGUUAAUACCGCAUAACAUAAUUGAACCGCAUGAUUUGAUUAUCAAAGAUUUAUCGCUGAAAGAUGAGCUCGCGUCUGAUUAGCUAGUUGGUAAGGUAACGGCUUACCAAGGCGACGAUCAGUAGCCGGACUGAGAGGUUGAUCGGCCACAUUGGGACUGAGACACGGCCCAGACUCCUACGGGAGGCAGCAGUGGGGAAUAUUGCACAAUGGAGGAAACUCUGAUGCAGCGAUGCCGCGUGAGGGAAGAAGGUUUUAGGAUUGUAAACCUCUGUCUUCAGGGACGAAAAAUGACGGUACCUGAGGAGGAAGCUCCGGCUAACUACGUGCCAGCAGCCGCGGUAAUACGUAGGGAGCGAGCGUUGUCCGGAAUUACUGGGUGUAAAGGGAGCGUAGGCGGGAUCGCAAGUCAGAUGUGAAAACUAUGGGCUUAACCCAUAAACUGCAUUUGAAACUGUGGUUCUUGAGUGAAGUAGAGGUAAGCGGAAUUCCUAGUGUAGCGGUGAAAUGCGUAGAUAUUAGGAGGAACAUCAGUGGCGAAGGCGGCUUACUGGGCUUUAACUGACGCUGAGGCUCGAAAGCGUGGGGAGCAAACAGGAUUAGAUACCCUGGUAGUCCACGCCGUAAACGAUGAUUACUAGGUGUGGGGGGACUGACCCCUUCCGUG